CCUACGGGAGGCAGCAGUAAGGAAUAUUGGUCAAUGGACGCAAGUCUGAACCAGCCAUGCCGCGUGAAGGAUGAAUGCCCUCUGGGUUGUAAACUUCUUUUAUAGGGGACGAAAAAGGGUCUUUUAGAUCAACUGACGGUACCCUAGGAAUAAGCACCGGCUAACUCCGUGCCAGCAGCCGCGGUAAUACGGAGGGUGCAAGCGUUAUCCGGAUUUACUGGGUUUAAAGGGUGCGUAGGUGGGUUGGUAAGUCAGCGGUGAAAUCUUCGAGCUUAACUCGGAAACUGCCAUUGAUACUAUCAGCCUUGAAUAUCCUGGAGGUGAGCGGAAUAUGUCAUGUAGCGGUGAAAUGCUUAGAUAUGACAUAGAACACCAAUUGCGAAGGCAGCUCACUACGGGAUUAUUGACACUGAGGCACGAAAGCGUGGGGAUCAAACAGGAUUAGAUACCCUGGUAGUCCACGCCCUAAACGAUGGAUACUCGACAUUUGCGAUAUACAGUAAGUGUCUGAGCGAAAGCAUUAAGUAUCCCACCUGGGAAGUACGAUCGCAAGAUUGAAACCUGAAAGAAUUGACGGNGNGAGAGNGACGAGACGACGACGAGGGAGGAGG
rnacentral:rRNA from 1 species